AUAACCGGUGACGCUCGACGCCUAAAGACAAACAACCGGGGGAAAUGACCUCUCCCCACCUCCCCCCUCCCCCUCUCACCCGGACGGAUGAAUCACCCCAACCCGGCUGGCGCAUAUGCCAAUCCGUCGGGCACGCUUGCCCCCGACAACCCCAUAACGCAAUUCGGCCCUCGCUCGGGACGCCAAUCCCGCCGAGGGCCUGACCAACGAGAAGGCAACACCCUUCCC
rnacentral:ncRNA from 1 species